AUUGCUUGCUUCAAUAGCACUAUAUACUAAAAUUGGAAUGAUACAGAGAUGAGUGUGGCCCCUGUGCAAGGAGACACACAAAUUCAUGAAGCAUCCCAUAUUUUU